UGAACUGUGUCACAGUUUCAAGUAAUGCGGCUGCUCCCGUUGUGUUGGAGCUGGAGAUGUGUUUCUGUGCAUGAAUGUACCAAAUUAGAACAGGAUAUCGCUCCGUUAUCACCUUGAUCUUCCCACGCAGGAGAACAGUCACAAAAUGAAGGAAGGGCACGCCAGGCAGAUGAACAGGUCUUGGAUCGAUCAGCAACCAUCGAACCGAAUAUCAGUGCCAGUUUCUUCCAGAUUUCCAGCAUCUGCAGUAUCUUGCAUUGGAUAUCAGAAUCCACGUGUGUCUCAGAGUAGAAGACAUUGAUCAUCAGCACUAUCCAAUUCAGCAAUGCCAACCACAACUUGCAUUUAUAUCGCGCCUCCAAUACAUAGUAAAACAUCCCAAGGUGCUUCACAGGAGCGAUUAUCAAACACAGUCCAACAGCGAGCCAGGUGAGAAGAUAUUAGGACAGGGGACCAAAAACUAGGUCAAAGAGGUACAUAUUUAAGGAGCAUCUUAGAGGAGGGGAGAGAGGUAGAGAGAGGGGAGCAAUUAAAAUCAGGGAUACUGCAAGAGGUGAGAAUUAGAGGAGUGCAAAGAUCUCGGACGAUUGUAGAACUGGAGGAUGUUAACCUGGAGAAAUGGGGGUCUCUAUUGCCUGCCCUUCCUAUAAGGAAACAAAACACUAUGAACCAUUCCUGAGGGGCAGUCGAUGGCCCUCACAUUCAACACUAACUAUACAGAAUAAGACCCAUUCUGCACACCAUUUCUUGGGGUGUCUUGGCCUCCUCCCGCUGGAAUUCAAACAUGCAAGUGUUCAUUCUUCAGCCAUGAGUUUGGACAUUGAGUGUGACGUGUACUAUUGCGCUAGGGAGGGCAGGACAACUGACCCUGAUGUUGACCUCACCUGAGCUGGCACCUCACUGCAACAUGGAUAGCGGCCAGGAGCCCUGGCUGAUUUCUUCAACCUCACCACCCCCACCUUGAACCCUGCCACCCUCACCCACCAUUGGCACUAAGUCCAGCUGUAGUGCCACUACUUCACUGAGAUUAUGAAAGCCAGCACAGACACAGAUCCAUGUGACAGGUUACCUUGUAGGGUGUGAUAUUGCAACAUUGUAUGUAUUUGACACAUUUUUACUCAAACUGUAUUUACAGAAACAACAUUCUGUUGCAUACCACAUUCGUGUACAAUAUACAGAAUGAGCCAUGUGAAGGUGAUGGAGCUCAAAGUCAUU